UUAACGCCGGGAGUUCCUUCAAGCACUUCGUCGGAUCGAAAAUGGAUGAAUUCGCUGAAGUGUUUGGAGGAACUCAGGGAGUCAC
rnacentral:pre_miRNA from 1 species